GGUUAAGCGACUAAGCGUACACGGUGGAUGCCCUGGCAGUCAGAGGCGAUGAAGGACGUGCUAAUCUGCGAUAAGCGUCGGUAAGGUGAUAUGAACCGUUAUAACCGGCGAUUUCCGAAUGGGGAAACCCAGUGUGUUUCGACACACUAUCAUUAACUGAAUCCAUAGGUUAAUGAGGCGAACCGGGGGAACUGAAACAUCUAAGUACCCCGAGGAAAAGAAAUCAACCGAGAUUCCCCCAGUAGCGGCGAGCGAACGGGGAGCAGCCCAGAGCCUGAAUCAGUAUGUGUGUUAGUGGAAGCGUCUGGAAAGGCGCGCGAUACAGGGUGACAGCCCCGUACACAAAAAUGCACAUGCUGUGAGCUCGAUGAGUAGGGCGGGACACGUGGUAUCCUGUCUGAAUAUGGGGGGACCAUCCUCCAAGGCUAAAUACUCCUGACUGACCGAUAGUGAACCAGUACCGUGAGGGAAAGGCGAAAAGAACCCCGGCGAGGGGAGUGAAAAAGAACCUGAAACCGUGUACGUACAAGCAGUGGGAGCACGCUUAGGCGUGUGACUGCGUACCUUUUGUAUAAUGGGUCAGCGACUUAUAUUCUGUAGCAAGGUUAACCGAAUAGGGGAGCCGAAGGGAAACCGAGUCUUAACUGGGCGUUAAGUUGCAGGGUAUAGACCCGAAACCCGGUGAUCUAGCCAUGGGCAGGUUGAAGGUUGGGUAACACUAACUGGAGGACCGAACCGACUAAUGUUGAAAAAUUAGCGGAUGACUUGUGGCUGGGGGUGAAAGGCCAAUCAAACCGGGAGAUAGCUGGUUCUCCCCGAAAGCUAUUUAGGUAGCGCCUCGUGAAUUCAUCUCCGGGGGUAGAGCACUGUUUCGGCAAGGGGGUCAUCCCGACUUACCAACCCGAUGCAAACUGCGAAUACCGGAGAAUGUUAUCACGGGAGACACACGGCGGGUGCUAACGUCCGUCGUGAAGAGGGAAACAACCCAGACCGCCAGCUAAGGUCCCAAAGUCAUGGUUAAGUGGGAAACGAUGUGGGAAGGCCCAGACAGCCAGGAUGUUGGCUUAGAAGCAGCCAUCAUUUAAAGAAAGCGUAAUAGCUCACUGGUCGAGUCGGCCUGCGCGGAAGAUGUAACGGGGCUAAACCAUGCACCGAAGCUGCGGCAGCGACGCUGAUGCGUUGUUGGGUAGGGGAGCGUUCUGUAAGCCUGCGAAGGUGUGCUGUGAGGCAUGCUGGAGGUAUCAGAAGUGCGAAUGCUGACAUAAGUAACGAUAAAGCGGGUGAAAAGCCCGCUCGCCGGAAGACCAAGGGUUCCUGUCCAACGUUAAUCGGGGCAGGGUGAGUCGACCCCUAAGGCGAGGCCGAAAGGCGUAGUCGAUGGGAAACAGGUUAAUAUUCCUGUACUUGGUGUUACUGCGAAGGGGGGACGGAGAAGGCUAUGUUGGCCGGGCGACGGUUGUCCCGGUUUAAGCGUGUAGGCUGGUUUUCCAGGCAAAUCCGGAAAAUCAAGGCUGAGGCGUGAUGACGAGGCACUGCGGUGCUGAAGCAACAAAUGCCCUGCUUCCAGGAAAAGCCUCUAAGCAUCAGGUAACAUCAAAUCGUACCCCAAACCGACACAGGUGGUCAGGUAGAGAAUACCAAGGCGCUUGAGAGAACUCGGGUGAAGGAACUAGGCAAAAUGGUGCCGUAACUUCGGGAGAAGGCACGCUGAUAUGUAGGUGAAGUCCCUCGCGGAUGGAGCUGAAAUCAGUCGAAGAUACCAGCUGGCUGCAACUGUUUAUUAAAAACACAGCACUGUGCAAACACGAAAGUGGACGUAUACGGUGUGACGCCUGCCCGGUGCCGGAAGGUUAAUUGAUGGGGUUAGCGCAAGCGAAGCUCUUGAUCGAAGCCCCGGUAAACGGCGGCCGUAACUAUAACGGUCCUAAGGUAGCGAAAUUCCUUGUCGGGUAAGUUCCGACCUGCACGAAUGGCGUAAUGAUGGCCAGGCUGUCUCCACCCGAGACUCAGUGAAAUUGAACUCGCUGUGAAGAUGCAGUGUACCCGCGGCAAGACGGAAAGACCCCGUGAACCUUUACUAUAGCUUGACACUGAACAUUGAGCCUUGAUGUGUAGGAUAGGUGGGAGGCUU
rnacentral:rRNA from 1 species